rnacentral:rRNA from 1 species
GCGGCGUGCUUAAGGUAUGCAAGUCAAACCCAGCUUUUAGCAGGGUGGCGAACGGCUGAGUAAUACGUAGGAACCUACCUCUAAGUAAGGUAUAACCCUCCGAAAGGUGGGAUAAUCCCUUAUGUGGUGGCAACACUAAAGAUUUAUCGCUUAGAAAUGGGCCUGCGGCCUAUCAGGUAGUUGGUUGGGUAACGGCCUACCAAGCCUAUGGCGGGUAGCUGGUAUCAGAGUAUGACCAGCCAGAGGGGUACUGAGAUACGGGCCUCACCCCUACGGGGGGCAGCAAUCGGGAAUUUUGCGCAAUGGACGAAAGUCUGACGCAGCGACGCCGCGUGAAGGAUGACGGCCUUCGGGUUGUAAACUUCGUUGUAAGCACCGGCUAACUACGUGCCAGCAGCAGCGGUCAUACGUAGGGUGCAAGCAUUAUCCGGUUUUAUUGGGCGUAAAGAGUUCUGUAGGCGGUUGAAUAAGUUGGAAGUUAAAUAUCCUGGCUCAACUAGGACAAGGCUUUCAAUACUAUUUGGCUAUGAGGUGACUAGGGGGUAGCGGAACGCAUGGUGUAGCAGUGAAAUGCGUUGAUAUCAUGCGGAACACCAAGGGGGAAGCCAGCUAUCUGGGGUUAUCCUGACGCUGAGAGACGAAAGCGUGGGGAGCGAAACGGAUUAGAUACCCGUGUAGUCCACGCUGUAAACCAUGCCUGCUAGAUGCUCCGUUUUCGGAGUGUCGAAGCUAACGCGUUAAGCAGGCCGCCUGGGAAGUACGAUCGCAAGAUUAAAACUCAAAGGAAUUGGCGGGGACCCGCACAAGCGGUGGAGCAUGCUCUUUAAUUGGCUGAUAACCCAAGAACCUUACCAGGGCUUGACAUGCAUAAAGUAGUGAACCGAAAGGGGAACGACCGGUAUCCAGUCCGGAGUUUGCACAGGUGUUGCAUGGCUGUCGUCAGUUCGUACCGUGAGGCGUACCCUUAAGUGGGUUAACGAACGCAACCCCUACUGUCAGUUGUAUCACUCUGACGGAACUGCCUCGGUAACGAGGAGGAAGGUGGGGAUGACGUCAAGUCAGUAUUGCUCUUACGCUCUGGGCUAGAAGCAUGCUACAAUGGGGUCGACAGCGCGAAGCGAAGAGGCGACUCGGAGCAAAUCGCUAAACGACCUCUCAGUUCGGAUUGGAGUCUGCAAUUCGACUCCAUGAAGUUGGAAUCGCUAGUAAUCGGCGGUCAGCUAUACGCCGGUGAAUACGUUCUCGGGUC